AGGAAACGGAUCAUUACGUCAUGGACAACAAAAUUAGGAUUGGGAAACAUCCUUCUGAAACACUAGGACGAAGAAAGGAAAAUACUCCAUCUACAGGGAUGGAAGACCAGCACGCUGCAGAACAACACAAUUCCCAUGGUGCAGACUGUCCUUCAAAGAAACUCUGAAAAAAGAAAGAACGAAAGAAAGAAAGAAAAGAGAAUGACAGUGAAAGCUGUGUCAUGUGGCAAUGCUCGAAUAAUGUCAGAGUUAAAUGAUUAAAUGAAACAUGGAUAUCAGUGUAAUCUUCAUAGGUUCCAACAUCAGACAGCCCUCUUGACAAUUAGUGUUUUUUAAACAGCAGCUUCAAAUGCAAAAUACUCUUUUAACAACGAGAUCAACCUCUACCUUGCAGUCAUAGCUGCAGAAUUUUCACAAACUUGUGGAUCCCUCAGGAUAAGCUAAAGAUAUCUGUUUUAGAAAAUAAUAUCCCUGUUUUAUUAUUAAACAGGAUACAAAAACC